rnacentral:tRNA from 1 species
AUUCAUGUAGCUUAACAGUAAAGCAAAACAUUGAAAAUGCUUAGAUGGAUUUUAAUCCCAUAAACA